rnacentral:lncRNA from 1 species
AAAAAAAAAAAAAAAAAGUCUGUUAAUCCUAAAACCUACAGCCAAGGUGCUCCCAGCCUGAGCUCAAAGUGGCCCACAAAGGACAAAGCCAGUUCUGAGUUACCAAAGCUGCCAUUUGAUGAUGGAAACUGACUGGAGAGGGAAAGGUUACAGGAGAGUAUAUAGAGGCAGACUACUCUGCCAUAGAGGUGCUAAUUCUUGAAAUUGGAGAAAAAAAAAACUUUUUCCAAUUACAAAGUUAUAUCAGUUUGUCCAUCUAAGCCAUUGGCUCAAGUAUUGCAGGAUGGCCUAUGGGAGAUGGAAGAGAAGGGCCUUUGCUCUUAGGGUAGAAACUCUUAGAGCCCCUCUCUCUCUUUCUUUUUUUUUUUUCUUUCUUUCUUUUCUAUUUUUGUUUUUUUUUUAAUUUUUUUUUUUUAUUUUCAGCUUUGAACCCUGAAACUGCUUGUGGCAGGUUCAGUUACUGACAGCACAAAUUCCAUUGAGUCAAUUCAAGGAUUGAAUGACUUCACAAGCCCUGGUCUCAGGAGAUUAACUUUCAUAUUGGGGUAGUGGUUCACUUGAGAAUACAAAAUCUUCAGAUUAACUGAUGUCCAAAAUACUGUCUUGAAUCAUGAGAUCCAUCAAUUUUUAGUAUUGUCUAGACCUACAAAUAGAACUACAUUGUAAAAUCUUUUUCAGCAUGUGUUAAGAUGUAUGUGAAAAUUUCUGUUUAAGUUUAAAGUUCAUACCAUACUGUCAGUUUUUGUCUUAAUAAAAUUAUAGAUUUCU